CCCUUAGAUGUUCUGGGCUGCACGCGCGCUACACUGAUGCGCUCAACGAGUUUACGACCUUGCCCGGAAGGGUUGGGUAAUCUUUUUAAAACGCAUCGUGAUGGGGAUAGAUUAUUGCAAUUAUUAAUCUUUAACGAGGAAUUCCUAGUAAGCGCGAGUCAUCAGCUCGUGCUGAUUACGUCCCUGCCCUUUGUACACACCGCCCGUCGCACCUACCGAUUGAAUGUUUCGGUGAAGAUUCCGGAUAGGACUUUUUUGAUUUAUUUCAAUUUUGUCUUAAAAGCUAUCUAAACCUCAACAUUUAGAGGAAGGUGAAGUCGUAACA
rnacentral:rRNA from 1 species